rnacentral:rRNA from 1 species
GACGAACGCUGGCGGCGUGCUUAACACAUGCAAGUCGAACGAAAAGGCCCGGCUUUUGUGGGGUGCUCGAGUGGCGAACGGGUGAGUAACACGUGAGUAACCUGCCCUUGACUUUGGGAUAAAUUCAGGAAAAUGGGGCUAAUACCGGAUAUGAGCUCUUGCUGCAUGGUGGGGGUUGGAAAAUUUCGGCGGUUGGGGAUGGACUCGCGGCGUCUCGGCGUGUUGGUGGGGUAGUGGCUUACCAAGGCUUUGACGGGUAGCCGAACUGAGCGGGUGACCGGCCGCCUUGGAAGGGAGCCACGCACAUUAGGCCUGAGGGAGGGCGCAGACGCGAACGGGAGGCAACGGUGGGGAGUAUGACGGAAUAGGGCGGAGCCAGUGGCGGCGACGCUCGGUGCGGAAUGACGGCCUUCUGGUGAAGAACCACUUUCGCCGUAGACGAAGCGUGAUUGACGGUAAUGAGUAAAAAAGCACCGGCUAACUACGUG